UUCCUACGGGGGGCAGCAGUGGGGAAUAUUGCACAAUGGGGGAAACCCUGAUGCAGCGACGCCGCGUGAGUGAAGAAGUAUUUCGGUAUGUAAAGCUCUAUUAGCAGGGAAGACAAUGACGGUACCUGAUUAAGAAGCCCCGGCUAACUACGUGCCAGCAGCCGCGGUAAUACGUAGGGGGCAAGCGUUAUCCGGAUUUACUGGGUGUAAAGGGAGCGUAGACGGUGAUGCAAGUCAGAAGUGAAAGCCCGGG
rnacentral:rRNA from 1 species